UCAGGAUGAACGCUAGCUACAGGCUAACACAUGCAAGUCGAGGGGUAGCAGGGUAGCAAUACCGCUGACGACCGGCGCACGGGUGAGUAACACGUAUCCAACCUUCCCAUAACUCAGGGAUAGCCUUUCGAAAGAAAGAUUAAUACCUGAUAGUACUUUUUCAAGGCAUCUUGAGAAAGUUAAAGAUUUAUUGGUUAUGGAUGGGGAUGCGUUCCAUUAGAUAGUUGGUGAGGUAACGGCUCACCAAGUCUUCGAUGGAUAGGGGUUCUGAGAGGAAGGUCCCCCACAUUGGUACUGAGACACGGACCAAACUCCUACGGGAGGCAGCAGUGAGGAAUAUUGGUCAAUGGGCGAGAGCCUGAACCAGCCAAGUAGCGUGAAGGAUGAAGGUCCUAUGGAUUGUAAACUUCUUUUAUAGUAGAAUAAAGUGAUCCACGUGUGGAUUUUUGUAUGUAUACUAUGAAUAAGGAUCGGCUAACUCCGUGCCAGCAGCCGC
rnacentral:rRNA from 1 species